GUAAGAGUGUGCGUUACGUGUGUGUGUGUGUAUCGUGUGUGAAGUAAUAGCUGAUCGUAGUGUUGGUGCGCUUGGGAAUAGUGCGUGCAGUUGACGCGUGUGUCGCGCGAGUAUAGAAGAGCGAGAAGCACAGCGAAUGUGUGUGAGCUCUCGCUCGUCGGAAGGAAGUGAAUGUUCUAAUCCCAUUUGGCAAAGCGAAUAGGCAAGAUAGCAGAAGUGUGGCACAGAGCGAACGAGAGAGGCAGAUAGCAAGCAUCCGUUGCCGCGUUUGUGUGGCAGCCAGAAGCAGCAGCAGCAGCAGCAGCAGCAGCAGACAUCGAAACACGCUCGAAGGGGGGUGAGAAAAGUUGUGUUCUGUCAGCUUGAGCAUUCUUCACUGCCAUCACACACAUUUGUUCCGUGCGUUCGGCGCUGGCAGUACCCCGUGUCCCGUGUGUUUGUGUCCCGGUCAUCGGUCGGUGUCUGUCCGUCCUGCGUGUGUACAAAGUGCAAAAACCGCCCCAAAAACAGUGAAAUAGUGUGUCACCGAACUGAAGCGGUGCGAAUUAGUGGUGAAGUGUUUUCUCUUUUCCCGUGAGGGCCAUCACCAAAGAACACGCGCGUGUCGUCUUCUAAACACCGUCGUCGUGUCGCUCUCUCUUUCACACAUACACAUACAGACACGACGUAUCGUACAAACGCACAGCUCGGCUAGGCCAACAAACCUUCUAAGGAGGUGUGUAACGGGUUUUUUUAACGCUAAUCUCGCUCUCUCUGGUCUGUUAGCCCACACCCAACACUCACACCCCCCUGGUUAGCUCCCGUGCGCUUGGCCGCGGGACCACUUGAAACAGCCUCAAAAUUACGACCGUAAACAUGACGAACAAGGUGCUGGCGGCGGUUCAGGACCUCCAGAAGCAGCAGCAGCAACAGCAGCAGCAACAACAGCAGCAGCAGCAGCAGCAACAGCAGCAACAGCAGCAGCAGCAGCAGAAUGGCGCAAACGGUGGCGGUGGUGGUGGUGGUGGUGAAGCAGGCCAAACGGUGGCCGGCGGUGCGGCGGGCGGCGGUGGCCAAAGCUCGGACAACAACUCGCGCACCAACCUGAUCGUGAACUAUCUGCCACAGACAAUGACGGAGGAAGAGAUCCGGUCGCUGUUCUCGAGCGUCGGCGAGGUGGAAAGCGUGAAGCUGGUGCGCGACAAGAACGUCAUCUACCCGGGGCAACCGAAGGGGCAGAGCCUCGGGUACGGCUUCGUCAACUACCACCGGCCGCAGGAUGCCGAGCAGGCGGUGAACGUGCUGAACGGGCUGCGGUUACAGAACAAGGUGCUGAAGGUGUCGUUCGCCCGGCCCAGCUCGGAGGGCAUCAAGGGUGCGAACCUGUACAUCUCCGGCCUGCCGAAGACGAUCACGCAGGAGGAGCUGGAGACGAUCUUCCGGCCGUACGGCGAGAUCAUCACAUCGCGCGUCCUCAUCCAGGACGGCAACGACAAGCCGAAGGGCGUCGGCUUUAUUCGGUUCGACCAGCGCAAGGAGGCGGAGCGGGCGAUCCAGGCGCUGAACGGUACCACGCCGAAGGGGCUGACCGAUCCGAUCACGGUCAAGUUCUCGAACACGCCGGGCCAGAAUGCGGCGGCCAAAGUGGUGCAGCCGGCCCUGCCCGCCUUCCUGAACCCGCAGCUGACUCGCCGGCUCGGCGCGAUUCACCAUCCGAUCAACAAGGGGCUGGCCCGGUUUUCGCCCAUGGGCGGGGAGGUGCUGGACAUGAUGCUGCCCGCCGCACCCGCCAACGGCUUGAACGUGGCCCCGUCCGGUGGCUGGAGCAUAUUCAUCUACAAUCUCGCACCGGAGACGGAGGAAAACACGCUGUGGCAGCUGUUCGGCCCGUUCGGUGCGGUGCAGAACGUGAAGGUCAUCAAGGAUGCGGCCACGAACCAGUGCAAGGGGUACGGGUUCGUGACGAUGACCAACUACGAGGAGGCGAUGCUGGCCAUCCGGUCCCUCAACGGCUACACGCUCGGUCAGCGCGUCCUGCAAGUCAGCUUCAAGACCAACAAGUCAAACGGCGGCCAUAUGGGUGAAAACUAAAACGGGGGACACAGCCGUUGAAGAAACGAACACCCAGAAGCCAUAUACUCUCUCACAUCCCUCUUACCCUACAACAACAACAACUACUACUACUACGCACAGACACGGUACAGUACAAGAAGGUGUACAGGCAAAGGAUGCUGCAGGGUGACCACAAAAUGAUGGAGAAGAAUGCAGCGCAAAGGAAGGAGCUAAAGCUAUGCAACAUUAAAGGAUGGCAAACUGUUGGGCGCAAAAAACAGGCAAAAAAUCACUGAAACUGUAAUAAAACAAACAAUCUAAAACCACACACUAUUAGCCGAACAGUAGAGAGCGAUUGGUGAGUGCGCGGGUGACGAAGGUCUGGAGUGAAAACCCGUGAACCGCAGGUGUCCCAAGCAGCACCAGCACCAGCAGCAGCAGCAGCAGCAGGUAAACCCCAUUAAACUAGCAUUUCGUCGAUAUGUUCGAAGCUGUACGCUCGAAGAAGAGAAGGGAAAAAUAGCAAACACUGAUCAAUCCCGCCACGCGUUUAAAAGCUUCAAACAGUACAGUCCUCACCCUCUAAUCACAAUGCAAAAUGCAAGUCAGAGCACCGUUGCAAGUGUUUUGAAUUGGCGGUUAAGAAUCGGACCUACUUUCAACAGGAUGGCAAUUAACAUCGGUGCAUCUGUACAAGGAAAGCAACACCUACACACAAGUGCUGCAGCGAGAGAAAGAGAGAGAGAGAGAGAGGGUAGUGUGCAGGUAAACUUAAAUCUAGUCAAAAGUCCAGCAAUGGAAAGAAGCAACACGAAUGCGUCAGGUGACCUAAUAUUGGAGACAAUUUAGAAGGAAUAAUUAUCCCCCGGCAGAAAGAGAGAGGGAGAGAGAGAGCAAGUGGCAUGCAGAGAUGAAACAUGCAAGAUAUGUUUUUUGCCUAUAUUUUAUAAACUCUAGGUUUUUUUUUUAUAUAUAAAAAUAUUAUUAGUAUACUGUACACAGGAAAACAUGUGCAUUUUUCUAAACGUUUGCUACCAAAAAAAAAAAAAACAGAUGGGUAAAUGGUAAUGAUAAACGAAAAACAUACACACCAGCCGACCACUCGAGGACAGCAGCAUAUACUACAAGGAGGUAGUACAUCACAAAUGAGCCGAUUUAUAUUGAUAUCGUUGCAAUAGUGGUGAAGGAAUAAUUUGAAGAAAAAAAAAACAAUCCUUCACCGGCACAUG